AACGUAGGAGGCAAGCGUUAUCCGGAGUUACUGGGCGUAAAGCGUAUGUAGGCGGUUGGGCAAGUGGCGUGUGAAAGCUCCCGGCUAAACCGGGAGAGGUCGUUGGAUACUGGCAAACUAGAGGAUGGUAGAGGCGUGUGGAAUUCCGGGUGUAGUGGUGAAAUGCGUAGAGAUCCGGAGGAACACCAGUGGCGAAGGCGACACGCCGGGCCAUACCUGACGCUAAAGCGCGACAGCAUGGGGAGCAAACGGG
rnacentral:rRNA from 1 species